rnacentral:rRNA from 1 species
AUGUCGCUGCCGUCGCCGCCGCCGCCGUCGGGCCGCCCGCGCCGUGCGGCGUCGGCGCGUCCGGGGUCGUACGACGAGUCGCUGGUCGACACCGAGCUGCAGGCCUACCUUGGGAACUCCCCGUCGCGGCGCAUCCGGCGCCUGCGCCGCCUCUCCCCGGAGGAGCGCCAGCGCGAGACGGAGACAGAGGCGCUCAUUGCGCUCUCCCUGGGCUUCCCCAUCGACGCCCUCCUCCCCGCCGAGGAGGCCAUCCUCGCGGACGCCGAUGCCGCCGCCCCCAACGACUACAUCGUCGUCCGCAACCACAUCCUCGCCUCCUGGCGCGCCGACCCGCGGGUGCCGCUCCCCCGCGCGCGCGUGCUCGAGACCGUUGCCUCGAGCUACGACCACCUAGUCGCCGCCGCGCACGGCUUCCUCACCCGCGAGGGCCACGUCAACUUCGGCGUCUCCGCCGCCUUCCCCGCAUCCUCUCCCGCCGACGCGCUCCAGGCCCCAGCCGCUUCCGUCCUCGUCAUCGGUGCUGGCCUCGCCGGGCUCGCUGCCGCGCGGCAGCUUCUCCGCUUCGGCCUCCGCGUGCUCGUCCUGGAGGGCCGCGCCCGCCCUGGUGGCCGCGUUUACACCUCCCGCCUAGGCGGGGGCCAGGCCGCCGUCGAGCUCGGUGGGAGCGUCAUCACUGGCAUCCACGCCAACCCGCUAGGCGUGCUCGCCCGCCAGCUCGGGAUUCCUCUCCACAAGGUGCGUGACCGCUGCCCACUGUACCACACUGACGGCCGGACUGUGGGCACCAGGCUAGAUAGAAGUAUCGAUUUGGUGUUCAAUACGCUUCUUGACCACGCCACCAGGCUGCGGGAGGCUCUCAAGGAAGCCGCAGAGAGGAUCUCGCUGGGGGAAGGGAUCGAAAGGCUGAGAAGGUUGUACAAUGUGGCCAAAAGCGAGGAAGAGAGGGAGGUUCUGGACUGGCAUCUGGCAAACCUUGAGUUCUCCAAUGCUGGUUGCUUAUCGGAGCUCUCUCUGGCGCACUGGGACCAGGACGACCAGUUUGAGAUGGGUGGUGACCAUUGCUUCUUGGCUGGAGGGAAUUCGAGGCUGGUACACGCCUUAUGUGAUGGUGUACCAGUGUUGUAUGAGAAGACGGUGAAGCGGAUUGAGCAUGGAGUAGAUGGCGUGAGCAUCACAGUGGAAGGAGGGCAGGUUUUUCAGGCGGACAUGGCGCUCUGCACUGUUCCGCUUGGAGUGCUCAAGAGUGGGAGCAUUGUGUUUGACCCAGAGUUGCCUGAAAACAAGCUUGGGGCGAUUCAGAGGUUGGGGUUUGGUUUGUUGAACAAAGUGGCUAUGGUGUUCCCAUCUGUAUUUUGGGAUGAGGAAAUUGACACAUUUGGGUGUUUGAAUAAGGAGUCCAGCAAGCGUGGGGAAUUCUUUCUCUUCUACAGCUACCAUACCGUCUCUGGCGGUGCAGUACUUGUUGCACUUGUGGCGGGAGAGGCUGCUUUGGAGUUUGAAAAGGUUGAUCCUGUUGUUACACUUCAUCGAGUACUUGGUAUUCUUCGAGGUAUCUAUGGCCCAAAAGGCGUUACUGUGCCUGACCCCAUUCAAUCUGCUUGUACAAGAUGGGGUAGUGAUCCUCUCUGUUGCGGUUCAUACUCUCACAUCAGAGUUGGGUCUUCUGGAACGGACUAUGACAUUCUUGCUGAGAGUGUCAGUGAAGACCGGCUCUUCUUUGCUGGAGAAGCAACCAACCGUGCAUACCCUGCAACGAUGCAUGGUGCCUUAUUGAGCGGACUAAGAGAAGCUUCCAGAAUUCUCCGGGCUUCACAAAGCAGAGUGGAUUCCGAUCAUAAAAAGUAUGCUCUGCAGAAAAGCCUUAGACCUCCUGAUGGCAUCCUUGAAGAUCUUUUCACGGAGCCAGAUCUUGAAUUCAGCAGAUUCUCAUUCGUGUUCUCCUCCAUGACACCCGACGAUCCACAGUCUAUGGGCUUGCUCAGGAUUACACUUGAGAAUCCCCAUUUGGAAGGGGACCAAAAGGAUCAGGAGCCUGCAGCCGAGAAGGAGGCUCACCAGAAAGCUUUCCACUUAUAUGCCGCCAUCUCUCGAGAGCAGGCCAAUCAGCUGCAACUGGCAGGCGACGACGAUCGAGGUAGGUUAGAGUUGCUAUGCAAGGAUCUUAGUGUAAAGCUGAUGGGGUACGACAGUACAUGUGAUACAGGCAACUCUCUGAUUUUAAGCAUCCAAAGCGCUCAGAAAGCCAGGAAGAGGCUGCAGCGCCCGAAGGACUUCAAAUUCUGA